AUUGAAAAAACACAAACAUAUAUAUACUGUCACACAACAGACUUUUUGAAUGCUGCAAUAGCAAGAAUGAUUGAUGCGGUUUGGACUAGCUGAUUGCAGCCUGUAUUUGAAAAAGAUCUUUACAUCAUGGAAGGUGUUCCAUCAUUGGGAGGUUGAGUGGCAGUAUAUAUAUGUUUGUGUUUUUUCAAUAGCUUGCAGUCAGUUCAACUUGAUCUUUUGAGCAGUGAUUUGUUCUGUUUCUUGGAAACCCG
rnacentral:misc_RNA from 1 species